rnacentral:rRNA from 1 species
AAGAGUUUAAUGGCCGAACAGGCCUAAUCUUAUGAAUUCUUCUUCAUAAAUUUUUCUUAAUCCAACAUCGAGGUCGCUUAUUAUUUUGUUAAUUAGAUCUUUUGAAAAUUUUUAGCG